UACGAAGGGGGCUAGCGUUGCUCGGAAUCACUGGGCGUAAAGGGUGCGUAGGCGGGUCUUUAAGUCAGGGGUGAAAUCCCGGGGCUCAACCCCGGAACUGCCUUUGAUACUGAUAGUCUCGAGUCCGGAAGAGGUGAGUGGAAUUCCGAGGUGUAGAGGUGAAAUUCGUAGAUAUUCGGAGGAACACCAGUGGCGAAGGCGGUCUCUGGGCAUUACCUGACGCUGAGGAGCGAA
rnacentral:rRNA from 1 species